rnacentral:rRNA from 1 species
AUUGAACGCUGGCGGCAUGCCUUACACAUGCAAGUCGAACGGCAGCACGGGGCAACCUGGUGGCGAGUGGCGAACGGGUGAGUAAUGCAUCGGAACGUACCUUUCAGUGGGGGAUAACGUAGCGAAAGUUACGCUAAUACCGCAUAUUCUGUGAGCAGGAAAGCAGGGGAUCGCAAGACCUUGCGCUGAUUGAGCGGCCGAUGUCAGAUUAGCUAGUUGGUGAGGUAAAGGCUCACCAAGGCGACGAUCUGUAGCGGGUCUGAGAGGAUGAUCCGCCACACUUGAACUGGGACACGGUCCAAACUCCUACGGGAGGCAGCAGUGGGGAAUUUUGGACAAUGGGGGCAACCCUGAUCCAGCCAUGCCGCGUGAGUGAAGAAGGCCUUCGGGUUGUAAAGCUCUUUCGGCCGGGAAGAAAUCGCACGGGCUAAUACCCUGUGUGGAUGACGGUACCGGAAUAAGAAGCACCGGCUAACUACGUGCCAGCCGCCGCGGUAACAC